rnacentral:rRNA from 1 species
AUUGAACGCUGGCGGCAGGCCUAACACAUGCAAGUCGAGCGGAUGACGUGAGCUUGCUCCUGGAUUCAGCGGCGGACGGGUGCGUAUCGCCUAUGAAUCUGCCUGGCAGUGGGUGAAAACGUCCGGAAACGGGCUCUUAUACCGCAUACUUCCUGCGGGUGAAAGUGGGGGCCUUUCUGACCUCAUGCCUUCAAAUCAGUCUAGGUCGGAUUAGCUAGUUCGUGCGUUAAUGGCCUACCAACGCGACGAUCCGUAACUGGUCUGAGAGGAUGAUCAGUCACACUAGAACUGAGACACGGUCUAGACUCAUAAGGGAGGCAGCAGUGGGGAAUUUUGGACAAUGGGCGGAAGCCUGAUCCAGCCAUGCCGCAUGAUCGAAGAAGGUCUUCGGAUUGUAAAGCACUUUGUGUUGGGAGGAAGGGCAGUGAGUUAAUACCAUGCUGUUUUGACGUUACCAACAGAAUAAGCACCGGCUAACUUCGUG